rnacentral:snRNA from 1 species
GUCGCUUCUCGGCCUUUUGGCUAAGAUCAAAGUGUAGUAUCUGUUCUUUCCAGCUUUAUAUCUGGGACGCCCUUACACGGGGCAAGAUAUAAUGCUUAUUUUUGUGCCUUGGUAUGUGUUGCGAAGCUUGCUUCCUCCAUACCACGCGUCCUCCCGGUAUUGCAGUACUUCUGGGUUGGGCGCAUUCCCU